GGAAUACGUGGGCCGACACAUACUCUCCAUCCCUGCUCCCUCGGCCUCCUCGGCUCCUCCCCACGAUCUCCGUGAAAUUCCUCCCUGCCUUCCACCUUCACCGGCUUCCCUCUGGUAGCUCCUCCCUGACCGAGAUUCCUUGCGAACAGGCCGAGGAAAAAGCCAUACUGAGAAGUAGGAGGAGGCUGGGAGGCGUGCCACAGACCCAGGUAACUAGGGUUUCCUCGAAGUCAUCAAUAAGAGCAGAACGGCGUCGCGGCGGUCGGGGGUCGAUGGAGGAGACCGAUUCCGUGCCGUGCCGGCGAGCAGCAGCUUGCAAGGAGUUCAAGGUUGGCCGGGAUGGCGGCGAUCAGCAGGAUAAGCCAUGUAACGAGACCACGACGGCGGAAAUAGCACCGACGGGAGCAGAACUCGGGGAGGAGCGGCAUCACGCGGAGUUCCCGAAUCCGGCCAUGGCAUGGCGGCGGAGAGCGCCGAUCUGGCCGCCGCGUGAACUCGGGAGGGAGUUGGGGUUUUCCUCCUUUCCUGUUCUUAUCUGUACUUCUAGCGAUUUGUUGCCCCUGUUUAUUUUAUUUUGGUCUGCCGUUCGUUCGUGAUCUUGGAUUGUGAUCAUGAGGUUCCGAUCGGGUGCUCUGGGUUAUUCGUUUCUUUGUUUGGGUUUCGUUCCGAUGCAUCACUCUCCAAUCUCCAUGCCUUAUGAUGUGCUUUUUUUUCUCAGGUAAUCCUAUGAGUGCACGCGCUGCUGCCGACCGUCGACACGACUGGCCUCCUUCGCGAUGCCUCCUUUGGCCCCGCUGGGUAUUGCGGCCAUCAAGAUGUCGUGGUGGUUCUGCCUGUGAUAUGUGAACCCCGUGUUGUCGUCAGGCUGUGGGCGGUCGGCUUGGUUUGGUGUUCGUGUUGUUCCGCCUGUGGCCGUUGUGCCUUCCUUCUACUGCUGGUGGUUGAUUGUUCGCUCCAGUAGUCUGUUCUUCCUGUCGGGGUUCCUGACUUGAUUGGUUCUUUGCCCAUUGUUUCAAAGAAGGAUGCUCGGAAGCGAGAUAUCUGGAUGGGCAAGCAACCAGCUGUUCUGGUUGCGUGAAUGUCUUCAGAAUUUGUUAGCGUUUUGGUAGAUUUCAGUUACAGCAUGCCUCCUUAGCGAUUGCUUAUAGUAUUUUUACUGGGAUUUCUUGUUGUUUGCGUUGCCUUUACAUUGUUGCCUUACAGUCUACUAUUGUUGACGCUCUCCUGGUAUUGCAGUUGCAUCGUUGUGGUAGACCUUGAGGUCUUGGAAGGGGCCGUGGCCGGUCUGCUCGGCAUGCCGUUCUUCCUGUUGCAUCUACCUUUAUGUUUAUAUGUUUUGCGGUUGGUGUUGUGAUUUGGUUUGUGGCCGGCGGUUCCUUCUGUUUGUGGAUAGAAUUAGAAGAUUGAAUAUGUCUCGAUUGUGAGCUAACAUAUUAUUUAUUUUCAGAUUCUGUGGCAGCACGAACACAUCAGCUCUAUGCUCUUAUCAAUUCAUGUCUUCAUCUGAUUGUGUUAAUAAGAAUGGAGAAGCCAUAGAAUGAUGUGCGUAUCAGCCUGCUUAUGACUUCCCUGAAUGGCUUCCUCUCUGCACAUGGUAGCAGUGUCGGUGGUGCAGUCCUAUUUCUAUUUGUCGUUUGAGGAUAGAACUGAGCAGUAUCCAAAAAUGAAUUUAGUUACAACUUUCAGAUGUGGGGUGGACACCCCAGUGCGCUUCUCCUUAUGAUUGCUGCCACUCUUCCCUAUGGCGAUGAAUCAGCCAUUUGGUUGAUGUGUAAUGCGUAUGCAAACGAUGUCAGCUUGAUGGUAAGAGGAGACCACCAGGACGGCACUACAUUGGAACAUAUGGUCACCGGCCAUGAAACUACGUUAAGAAGAAAAAAACUGGCCAUUACCUUACAAUCCCAGAAAACGGUGCACUGCCAAAUGUAUGACACCUACAGCAUGCCACAUGACUGUAUGUAACACUAGACAGAAUAGCCGCGCUGACAGGUCAAUUGCUGCGGCCUAAGAUGCAUCAGCACGUCGCUACCAAAUACUUGCCAGCAGACUAUCGCCAAAGGUCAGCACCUUAUGUAGCAACACCUACGGUUUCUACAUCCAUGCACAGUAUAUGGACGGUAUCAAUCCAUAUGAAACUUGGAUGUUGGAUUUUGCUCCAGGUACACUUAUGAAUGCUCCGGGUCUCUGCUUAUUUGGUUUGGUUCCUUCAUGGUAUAAUAAUUUUUGUUAUAUGUCAACUAUUUUGGUUCCUACAGAAAGACUUUUCCAAUCAUAUGUCGAGAACAACUGCUUCUUAACUAUAUUGAUGUCCAUCAUGUACCAAGGUUAAAAGUUUCUUUACUAUUUAUAUGUUCAUUCUGUGGAAUCGUCUGAGUGUAAGAAUUGAUCUGCUCUUCCUUCUAUUCAGUUCUUUCUUGAAAUUCAACUAGAUGUUUUACUUGAUGCGAGGUGUAAAUUCUCAUGGUAGAUCUGAUUUUUAUGCACAGGCGGCCAAGCAUGAGCGAUUCAAGAGGAUGCUGUUUGCGAAUUAACGAAAUUUUUAAGUGCCAUGAUCAACAAAAUUCACGAUCUGCACACGUGUGGCCAAACCCUUCUCUCAGUUUCAGAGAUUGGCAGCUAAUACACUAAUUCAAUCUAUUACAGACAACCUUGCCAUAUCUAGGGACAUGCCACUCACUUAUCUACCGAUUACAAAUUAUUGUCUCCUUUCCUUGCCAUAAAGAGGCACAACGAACUAUAGGCGCCUUGGUGGAAGAGAAGAAAUUUUUUCACAUCAAUGAAUGCACUUAUCACCUUACUUUAAAAGAAGCAAGUAAAGAGCGCAUAGCACUAGCAACUAGAAGACAUGGGAACACCGACACCGCCCAAUGCACCGUGUUGCUGUACCAUCUUUGCUAAAUUUUGCUACUUAUUUAAGAUAAUCCUGCUAAAUAUGUAAUCCGAGUUCAAAUAUAUAUUUUUGUGCCACUAGCUAACAUCUGUUUUAUCAGUGAAUUUAAA